rnacentral:rRNA from 1 species
GGUUAAGCGACUAAGCGUACACGGUGGAUGCCCUGGCAGUCAGAGGCGAUGAAGGACGUKCUAAUCUGCGAAAAGCGCCGGCGAGGUGAUAUGAACCCUUGACCCGGCGAUGUCCGAAUGGGGAAACCCAGUGCAAUYCGUUGCACUAUCGUUAACUGAAUACAUAGGUUAACGAGGCGAACCGGGGGAACUGAAACAUCUAAGUACCCCGAGGAAAAGAAAUCAACCGAGAUUCCCCCAGUAGCGGCGAGCGAACGGGGAGCAGCCCGGAGUCUGAAUCAGCUUGUGUGUUAGUGGAACGGUCUGGAAAGUCCGACGGUACAGGGUGAUAGUCCCGUACACGAAARYRCACAUGCUGUGAACUCGAAGAGUAGGGCGGGACACGUGGUAUCCUGUCUGAAUAUGGGGGGACCAUCCUCCAAGGCUAAAUACUCCUGACUGACCGAUAGUGAACCAGUACCGUGAGGGAAAGGCGAAAAGAACCCCGGCGAGGGGAGUGAAAAAGAACCUGAAACCGUGUACGUACAAGCAGUGGGAGCCUCUUUAUGGGGUGACUGCGUACCUUUUGUAUAAUGGGUCAGCGACUUAUAUUCUGUAGCAAGGUUAACCGUAUAGGGGAGCCGAAGGGAAACCGAGUCUUAACUGGGCGUUAAGUUGCAGGGUAUAGACCCGAAACCCGGUGAUCUAGCCAUGGGCAGGUUGAAGGUUGGGUAACACUAACUGGAGGACCGAACCGACUAAUGUUGAAAAAUUAGCGGAUGACCUGUGGCUGGGGGUGAAAGGCCAAUCAAACCGGGAGAUAGCUGGUUCUCCCCGAAAGCUAUUUAGGUAGCGCCUCGUGAACUCAUCUUCGGGGGUAGAGCACUGUUUCGGCUAGGGGGCCAUCCCGGCUUACCAACCCGAUGCAAACUACGAAUACCGAAGAAUGUUAUCACGGGAGACACACGGCGGGUGCUAACGUCCGUCGUGAAGAGGGAAACAACCCAGACCGCCAGCUAAGGUCCCAAAGUCAUGGUUAAGUGGGAAACGAUGUGGGAAGGCACAGACAGCCAGGAUGUUGGCUUAGAAGCAGCCAUCAUUUAAAGAAAGCGUAAUAGCUCACUGGUCGAGUCGGCCUGCGCGGAAGAUGUAACGGGGCUAAACCAUGCACCGAAGCUGCGGCAGCGACACUAUGUGUUGUUGGGUAGGGGAGCGUUCUGUAAGCCGUUGAAGGUGUGCUGUGAGGCAUGCUGGAGGUAUCAGAAGUGCGAAUGCUGACAUAAGUAACGAUAAAGCGGGUGAAAAGCCCGCUCGCCGGAAGACCAAGGGUUCCUGUCCAACGUUAAUCGGGGCAGGGUGAGUCGACCCCUAAGGCGAGGCCGAAAGGCGUAGUCGAUGGGAAACAGGUUAAUAUUCCUGUACUUGGUGUUACUGCGAAGGGGGGACGGAGAAGGCUAUGUCAGCCGGGCGACGGUUGUCCCGGUUUAAGCAUGUAGGCGGAGGUUCCAGGUAAAUCCGGUACCUUUUAACGCUGAGGUGUGAUGACGAGGCACUACGGUGCUGAAGUGAUAAAUGCCCUGCUUCCAGGAAAAGCCUCUAAGCAUCAGGUAACACGAAAUCGUACCCCAAACCGACACAGGUGGUCAGGUAGAGAAUACCAAGGCGCUUGAGAGAACUCGGGUGAAGGAACUAGGCAAAAUGGUGCCGUAACUUCGGGAGAAGGCACGCUGAUGUGUAGGUGAAGUCCCUGCGGACGGAGCUGAAAUCAGUCGAAGAUACCAGCUGGCUGCAACUGUUUAUUAAAAACACAGCACUGUGCAAACACGAAAGUGGACGUAUACGGUGUGACGCCUGCCCGGUGCCGGAAGGUUAAUUGAUGGGGUUAGCUGUAAGGCGAAGCUCUUGAUCGAAGCCCCGGUAAACGGCGGCCGUAACUAUAACGGUCCUAAGGUAGCGAAAUUCCUUGUCGGGUAAGUUCCGACCUGCACGAAUGGCGUAAUGAUGGCCAGGCUGUCUCCACCCGAGACUCAGUGAAAUUGAACUCGCUGUGAAGAUGCAGUGUACCCGCGGCAAGACGGAAAGACCCCGUGAACCUUUACUAUAGCUUGACACUGAACACUGGUCCUUGAUGUGUAGGAUAGGUGGGA